rnacentral:rRNA from 1 species
GUGAGGAAUAUUGGACAAUGGGCGCAAGCCUGAUCCAGCCAUGCCGCGUGCAGGAAGACGCAUCUAUGGUGUGUAAACUGCUUUUGUACGGGAAGAAACACUCCCUCGUGAGGGAGCUUGACGGUACCGUAAGAAUAAGGAUCGGCUAACUCCGUGCCAGCAGCCGCGGUAAUACGGAGGAUCCAAGCGUUAUCAGGAAUCAUUGGGUUUAAAGGGUCCGUAGGCGGUUUAAUAAGUCAGUGGUGAAAGCCCAUCGCUCAACGAUGGAACGGCCAUUGAUACUGUUAGACUUGAAUUACAAGGAAGUAACUAGAAUAUGUAGUGUAGCGGUGAAAUGCUUAGAUAUUACAUGGAAUACCAAUUGCGAAGGCAGGUUACUACUUGUGGAUUGACGCUGAUGGACGAAAGCGUGGGGAGCGAACAGGAUUAGAAACCCCGGUAGUCC